AGAGUUUGAUCCUGGCUCAGGAUGAACGCUAGCGACAGGCUUAACACAUGCAAGUCGAGGGGCAGCACGGUGUAGCAAUACACUGGUGGCGACCGGCGCACGGGUGAGUAACACGUGUGCAACCAACCCCGUACCGGGAGAUAACCCGCGGAAACGUGGACUAACAUCCCAUAAUACUCUAGAGCCGCAUGGCUCUGGAUUUAAAAUUCCGGUGGUACGGGACGGGCACGCGCGACAUUAGGUAGUUGGCGGGGUAACGGCCCACCAAGCCGACGAUGUCUAGGGGUUCUGAGAGGAAGGUCCCCCACACUGGAACUGAGACACGGUCCAGACUCCUACGGGAGGCAGCAGUGAGGAAUAUUGGUCAAUGGGCGAGAGCCUGAACCAGCCAAGUCGCGUGAGGGAAGAAUGGUCCAUGGCCUGUAAACCUCUUUUGUCAAGGAAGAAUAAAUUGCACGUGUGCGAUCUUGCCAGUACUUGACGAAUAAGCAUCGGCUAACUCCGUGCCAGCAGCCGCGGUAAUACGGGGGAUGCGAGCGUUAUCCGGAUUUAUUGGGUUUAAAGGGCGCGUAGGCGGGACGCCAAGUCAGCGGUAAAAGACUGCAGCUAAACUGUAGCACGCCGUUGAAACUGGCGCCCUCGAGACGAGACGAGGGAGGCGGAACAAGUGAAGUAGCGGUGAAAUGCUUAGAUAUCACUUGGAACCCCGAUAGCGAAGGCAGCUUCCCAGGCUCGAUCUGACGCUGAUGCGCGAGAGCGUGGGUAGCGAACAGGAUUAGAUACCCUGGUAGUCCACGCCGUAAACGAUGCUCACUGGAUCUUGGCGAUACACCGCCAGGGUUCAAGCGAAAGUAUUAAGUGAGCCACCUGGGGAGUACGUCGGCAACGAUGAAACUCAAAGGAAUUGACGGGGGCCCGCACAAGCGGAGGAACAUGUGGUUUAAUUCGAUGAUACGCGAGGAACCU
rnacentral:rRNA from 1 species